rnacentral:rRNA from 1 species
GACGAACGCUGGCGGCGUGCUUAACACAUGCAAGUCGAACGGAAAGGCCCUGCUUUUGUGUGGUGCUCGAGUGGCGAACGGGUGAGUAACACGUGAGUAACCUGCCCUUGACUUUGGGAUAACUUCUGGAAACUGGGGCUAAUACCGGAUAGGAGCUCCUGCUGCAUGGUGGGGGUUGGAAAGUUUCGGCGGUUUGGGAUGGACUCGCGGCUUAUCAGCUUGUUGGUGGGGUAGUGGCUUACCAAGGCUUUGACGGGUAGCCGGCCUGAGAGGGUGACCGGCCACAUUGGGACUGAGAUACGGCCCAGACUCCUACGGGAGGCAGCAGUGGGGAAUAUUGCACAAUGGGCGGAAGCCUGAUGCAGCAACGCCGCGUGCGGGAUGACGGCCUUCGGGUUGUAAACCGCUUUCGCCUGUGACGAAGCGUGAGUGACGGUAAUGGGUAAAGAAGCACCGGCUAACUACGUG